AUGAGUCAGUCCGGUGGAACAACAACAGCAGGCGGUGGUGGAGGGGGUUCAGUUUGUCUGGAUUCAGGCGAAGACAAGACUAAAGCCACCACAUUACAAGGCGAGACAGGUCAGGGAGAAGGCAAGGGUGAGGAUGCUCCUAUCUCGGAUGAACAAGAUCUUAACAAUGCGAACAUUGAAGGAUGGACAAGGAGAGAACGGAAUCGACAGGGCGCUGCAUCCAGGAAACCAAGUUUAGACAGAUGCAGUCAGAUGGAGAUAGCACUUGGGAAUGCUGGGAAGAUUGGGCAGGAAGUUGUUUUUCAACCAUUUAAAGGGAUGCAAUUCGACUCAGAGAAGGAUGCAUACAAAUUUUUCAAUGCAUAUUCUUGGAAAAUUGGUUUUGGUAUCAAGCAUGGCAAUAAAUACAUAAACAAGAACGGAUUCAAGACGAUGCAGGACCUUUUGUGUUCAUGCGAGGGAACUCACAAAAAAUUCAAUUCUAGGUCUAGUAGAACAAACUGCCCUGUGAUGGUUAGAUUGCUUCGCACAGAGGACGACGGAUGGUACUACGGAGAGGUGGUAUUAGAACACAACCACGAGUUGGCAGCUAGUGCAGGUGAAAGAAAGUUAUGGAAGUGUCACAAGUAUGUCGACUCAUCUAUGAAGGACAUUGUUAGGCACUUGCGUUCUAACAAUGUUUCACUGACCGAGGUAUAUGGGGUGAUGGCUGACAUUCAUGGUUCACAUGAUGACGUCCCAUUCCGUAAAAGGUCUCUCAAAUCCAUGUGUGCUUCCAUAGCUCACGAAUGUAGUCAAGAUGAUAUCAAUAAGACACUGGAUUUAUUCACAAGCAUGCAGGCAGAAGGAACUGGAUUCUUUUUCGCAGUUAAAACAGAUGAGGAAAGAAGGGUGUCUGGUCUGUUUUGGUGUCAUCAAAAGAGCAGGGCUGAUUACAGUUGCUUUGGAGAUGCCGUGACAUUCGACACGACUUACAAGAGCAACCUCUAUGAGAUGCCAGUUGGACUAUUUGUUGGAGUCAAUAACCAUUAUCAAUGCUGCCUGUUUGGUUGUGUUUUUCUGCGUGAAGAGACUGUAGAGUCAUUCAAGUGGGCAUUUGAAACAUUCCUAUCAGCAAUGGACAACAAACCACCAAAAACAAUAUUAACUGACCAAAGCAGGCAAAUGGAGCUUGCUAUUGCUCACGUGAUGAAUUCAUCAAAACAUGUUUGGUGCAAAUGGCAUGUUUUAAAGAAGAUGAGGGAGAAAGUAGGGAGCAUAUACAGGAAUGGUACUCCUUUUAGGAACGAUUUCAACAUUCUAAUAAAUGAGAUGAUGACAGUUGAGGAGUUCGAAAAGGAAUGGCAGGAGAUCAUGACACAUUAUGGACUUGAAAAAAAUUCAUUUUUGCAUCAGGUUUAUGAUUGUCGUUUCAAAUGGGCCAAGCCUUACCUCAAGGGAGACUUUUGUGCCAAAAUGUGCAGCACACAAAGAAGCGAGUGCAUGAACAACCUGCUCAAGUGUUAUGUAUCCAGGUCGGCACCAAUAAACAUCUUUUUUCAACAGUACACAAAGAUGUUUGCCGACAGAUGUGAAGAGGAGGACUUCGAAAUCGCUCACUCAAAGAAGGAUGGGAAGAUAAUAAGAACAAACUUUCUAAUAGAGCGACACGCAGCUAAAAUUUACACAAGGGGUGUGUUCAAGCUGUUCUUACUUGAAUUGUAUCAGUCUGGAUCAUUCAUCGUGAAGGGAAAUCAGGUGGAUGGGAGAAUCACAUUAGAGCAUGCUGAUGCAGAACAAAGGCAACGUUGGUGCAAAGUGGUUUAUGAUGUUAUUGUUGACAGGGAGAGCGACACUUACAAUUGCGAGUGUGGAAUGUUUGAGCACUCUGGACUGCUUUGUCGACACUUACUAAAGGUUAUGGUACACAUUGGCGUCCGCCAAAUCCCGAGUAGGUACAUUAUGAAGAGAUGGACCAACGAUGCUAGAGAAAAUAUGCCAGAUCACCUAAAGUGUUAUCAGAAAGAUGCAAGCAUGCAGGUGUCGAAGACUUUCAUGCACAACAUAAUCUACGUCAAGGCAUUGGAGAUAGUAAAACUAGCUGACAGCGGCAUGGUUACUUUCCAGCAUGCUAUAAUGGGAUUGGAUAAAGUAAAGAAUGAUCUUGAAAAGAUUAUAACAGCAGGAAUUACACAGGGACAAGCUUCUAAUGACAAAGGCAAUGCAGCUCAAGCAAGCAAAGAGCCAACACAGGAAACAACUCAAGGAUUCAAAGAAAAUGAGACCACACCUACAGAGAACCAACAAACAGAUGAAGGAUUGAAGAACGAAAUGGGCAACAUGUUCUCACAAGGUUCUCAAAGUUGUUUAGCACCUGAAAAGAGAUCAGCCAAAGGUAGACCCAAAACGAAGCGUUUCAAGUCAGAGGCUGAAGGCGCAUCAAACAAGAGCACAAGGAAGUGUGCGAUAUGUGGAUCUAGGGACCAUUUCACAAAGUCUUGCCCUUGCCACCUUGUUGGUGCAGCAUCAUCAAGCGAUUCUGAGGGAGAUGCCGACUUAACAGUUGAAGACCAUGUCAACACAGAUGCUGUUGAAGAAAAAGAUGUCAAUCAGCAAAGCCAGAUGGGAGAACAAAGUAGGAGAACUGAAAACAUCAAUACUCCCAAGUCUGUCCAGAGGAGGUGCAAGAAAUGCGGUCUGCCUGGUCAUUACACUCCUAAGUGCCCAAAAUUCUAUGGCCCCAAAAAGCCUCCAAAAGAGGUGACAUGCAAAAAAUGUUGCCUGGGAGGUCACUACUCGUCGACUUGUGGAGGGGAGUCUUCAUACAAAAGAAAGCGUUAA
rnacentral:rRNA from 1 species